rnacentral:sRNA from 1 species
UCGUUUUUACAAACGACGGAAGUAUUUGUUUAUGAUUAAUGCAUGGAGUUUUUCCUUUUUUAAACCUAAAAAAUUGGUGUCGAUCAUGUUAGCAACGCACCGGCCGUCCCGAGGGGUUAGAUUCCGAGACUCACCAGACCAGAAAUACAAAUAUUGAAAUGAUAUAGAUGUACCUAAACACAUCUUAACAUUUACAUGUACAUGUAGAUAUAUUCUCACAAAAUAUAUGCAAAAAUUGUAUUUUCCUGGUCGACAAUGGUUACCACCAAUGAUCAUGUCUUCUUGUUUGUUUGUUUGUUUGAAUAAAAUCUUUCACGUG